GUACCGAAAAACAUAUUUCGACAAUAUUUAACGGUAUAUUUUACUUUGAUUGUUUGGGGCCUCAGCCUGCACAAACUACACCCAUAAAAUACGCAAUUAAGCAUCAUCAACAAUUCUCUUUUGAAGAUCUUUCGGCUCAUUAUUACAUUCAAGAUCUAUGAAAUCUAAAUUAUAGUCACUACCAACUUCCACUCUAAAUACAUUCAUAGUCUUCUUAGAAGGAUUCCCGGCUUUAUAUAA
rnacentral:lncRNA from 1 species